UUCGAUUCUUUCAAGAAAAGCAACCAGAUCUACCUCUACCGCCUCAACCAGUCUUGACACGCUGGGGAACUUGGUUGGAGGCAGUAUCAUAUUAUGCAAAAAAUUUUGACGGAAUCAAAGAUAUUGUUGAUGGUCUCAAUGACGAUGCGGCUUGCGUUAUUUUUGCAAAGAAAUUGUUUGCAAACAAGGGAAUUCGAGAGGACUUGGCUUAUAUUCAGGCUAACUUUGGGUUUAUAGUAGACGAGAGAAAUUCAUUCAAAAUUCUUCAGAAAAGAGGUUACUUUUACACCUAAACAUAUUUACAUACUUUCAUAUACUAGUUCAAUCCGCUAUUAACUUGUUCAUCAUGCAUUGUAUUACGGAAUAUUUAUAUAAAAUCGUUUUAAUUUCAAUAUUUUCAA